CAGGAAACUGACAAAUUAACCAUAUAAAAUGUAUGACGUGAAAAUUGAAGUUUUAUUGUGGGACUGCCCAUUGAACAGAGGCCUGAUGUACAUGUCACAUCUUGAAGUUGUGGUCACAGUUUGGUAAAAUUACUAUAAGUUAAAUGGCUCAACCACUACGGCUCCUUGUACAAAUGGACAAAGAUUUAAAACUUUGAUUGUUUGCUUUGGUUUUAUAAACAUCACUUUCUACACCAUAUGGGUAAUUUCAUGGCAGUCAGUUUUAGUGGCGUACUAAACCGUAGUACUUGAAGGAAAACGCCAACCUGCGGGAGGAAACUGACUAACCUUAUCACAUAUGACAUGAAAAUCAAACCUUAAUUUUGCAACUGCCCAACUAGGGCUCAAACCAAUACCUAGAGGCUAGUAAUCAUACAUGUAAGGUGUGACGAACUACCAUACAAACACGCCUACUGCCCCUGAUAAGUUUUGAGGAUAAAGGAUCUGUACCAAAUUAGGAUAGCAAAAUAUUAAAAAUUUGGAAGGUUGGCACAAAUAGACAUGGUGUUUAUACUAAUAUUAUCCAAGUGCAAGGUUUUUCAGGGCUAGGUUUAAAACGUAUGAUAAAUUCAAAAUGGAAAUAUGCAGCAGGACAGACAAUUUUUGCAGAUAAAUAAAUUAUGGGUUGUAAUGCUUGUUUGAUUAACAGAAAUCUGGACAUGCAUUACAUGAAUACAGAUAAAUUAAUGAGCCCUUAGAAUUGUGGAAAAGGAGGGGAUUUUAUUCAUCACUAGUACACUAGAUACAUUUAUAAAUAUGUUUCUGUCAGUAUCUUUUAUGUUUUAAGAAUUAUCUUAUUCAUGUUAAGAAGAAAGGCAAGAAAAGGGGGAAGUACUUCAAUUGACACAAGAUGCUAGUCUUUAAAAUAUGUAUGUUUUGUACCAGGCUAGCAUCUACUGGUACAAAACUACUAUAAACCUGUAAAUCUGGGACCAUUUUGGUCUUUAAGCUUUGGUGCUUACAGCCAUAAUUAUCUUGAAUGCAUCAUUGUGGUUCUGACUAUAGUAGAUACUUUGUUCUCUGGUUCAAGGGAAAAUUUGUCAAUGAUAAAUUUCAAAUAUUUAAUAAGUUCAACAAAUGUAAGAGCCACGCAUAUUUGUUCUGUGAUGUCCCGGUGAAAAACUUCUAUCUCAUGAAGCGACAAAGUCAAGCAGAAAUCAUCUGUUUCUGCUUUACAAAAGAUAAAAUUUGAGUCCUCUACAAGGUCUCUCAGAACGUUUCUUUCAAAGAAUAGCUGAAAAUUUGAUUUUUGAUAAAAUCCAUCUCCCUUAACCAAUGCAUUGCAGCAUAGGGAGAUGCUUUCCCCUGCCGGCCUCUUUGACAUUACUUUUGGCAGACUUUUUCUAUUCCAUGUCAUUUAAAUGUUUGCUCCCAAUACAGUGUAAGGCAAGCGCUUUUAAGAUCGUGAUUUGAAAUAAGUAAAGCCAGGAACAAACUCGGCGGAUACGAUCAAAUUCCGGCACAAUUUCGAUUUUUUUUUAAAUAAAAAAAAAUAAAUUUCUGAAACGCAAAUAAAAUUAUUUGGGCGGCAAGUUUUUCAGUGGGUCGGGCGGCAAUGCCAAACAAAUGAAAUUUUAUUUUAGGCCAUGUAACAGUAUACUGUGGAUUCAUUUAUUUUCGUGGAUAUCAAUUUUCGUGGAUUUCGGAAAACCAGUAUUUUCGUGGCUAUUUGAUUUCGUGGUUUUGUCAAUCUCUGUAUACAAAGCCUAUAGAACAUGUGUUAUUCAUUGAACAUUUGAAUUCGUGGUUCACUUGUACCCACGAAAACCACGAAAAUUGGUAUCCAACGAAUAAUAAUGAAUCCACAAUACUUGAAUGACAUGGUGGGUUAUUGAAUAUGUCUAUGAAAAAUCAACAAAAACACUACUUAACUUACCAUUCAUGUAUAGCUUUUCUCAGUUUGACUAGAUGUAUCAUACCCUACUAUCAGAAGGGAGAUACAAAACAAGGAACAUAAUUCAAGUGAAGAGUAUAUAUUUUGGAAAACAACACUCCUACAUCAUAAA
rnacentral:lncRNA from 1 species